rnacentral:tRNA from 2 species
UGGGGAUAGAGGGACUUGAACCCUCACGAUUUUUAAAGUCGACGGAUUUUAAGUCCGUAGCG